UCGUAGGUACCAAGGAGUUACGCCGUGC
rnacentral:sRNA from 1 species